GAGACGCCACGUCAAGUACUGGCAGCCCCAAGGAAGGUGGGGAAAGAGGUGGGGAGAAAGGGCGCAUUCUGGUGACGUCACCACGCUGGGCCCGGCCGCAGGAACCCGCCCUCCUCCUCUUUCUCCUGCUCCCUCUCCUGCUCCCCGGUGAUGAGCUUCUGAGGGUACUAUCUACCAAACUGAGGAAGUAACCACUCAAAUUAGAAGAUGGCCAUGAGGACUGAAAAACAUGUGGGUCAGCACAGUGCCUUAAGGACACUAGCAGUUUUAUUCAGCAAGGCAAUCUAUGUCAAGACUUAGGAGGAAAUGUCAACAGACUUCACCUGUUUGAUUCCAUCGAGGGUCUCUCUCAAGUAGUCACAGCGAUUCUGAUUAAUAGCAACUGUGAUGGUCAGAGGGUAGUGUUCCACCACUGCCGCAGAAUGAGGCCUAUUAUAUCCCAGAGGCAAUAAUAAGGUCUCUGUUGGUGUGGAGCUGCAGAGAGGUAAACAGGACCAUCCAUAACUGGACUUCCACAGCGGGACUCAGAGCCACCUCAUUGCAUUGUGCUUCUGCUGGCCAGACAAGCAUUACCUCCACGCACAAGGAAGUCGAGCGUGGAAGAGACGGUGCUGUAUUUGAAGUGGCUGCUCCAUAUCAUCGCUUCUGAUCGCCCGAAGGGACUGAUCCUGGUGUCUGACUGCCUAGAGUCUUGUCAGGGUUUGGGGGUCCUGUGGAUCCAGGCAGACCAGGACAUCUAGGAUGGCCUAGCCCAGGAAGGCCACCCAUAUGCCAUCGCUCUUCUAGAGAGGACAAAUCAUAAACUCUGAUGACUGUUAUGGCUGCCGCCAGCUCGUCAAGGUAUGGCUCUCACAACCACCAUCGAUCGCACAGUGUGUCUGCCUUGCUCCCUUGCCUGAGAAUAGCGGGGAAGUGGCACGGCUUCUCUCCUUCGUGGCCUUGCAUCACACUUCUUGAGAGUUUCUACAGCUGCCUGAGUCAUCGACAACUGUGUUAGGCCAGCUGACACAUGGCACUGUGAGUCCAAGCAUGUAGGCGGGUGGCAUGAUGUGGAUGUGUUCUCCGGUCCACAUACUCUGUUGUGUGCUGCUGUCUUGGUACUCAGAAAGCUGGCUGGAGAAGGGAAAAACUGCCCCCCCCCUUCCUGUCAACAAUGACAUUCUGCUGGGAGCUGACCCUUCCAGGGUGAGUCAUCAGGAAGGGCAACCUACCUCUGCCCAAUUAGGAAGCAAGCGCUGGCAAAAGGAGCUUGCCUUCCCUCCACCACCACAAUGGCCAGGAUUUUCCAGCUGAAGAAAGGUCUUCUGGCUGAAGAAGGAGCUGAGAACAGGCUCUCUGCUGACCCUCAGAGUGCAGAUACUCUCCAAAUUCCUCUUCUCUCUCCACACAAGUCAGACUGCAGACUGCUGAAGACUGAUGCCCUUAGCCACGGAUUGUGCUGCAUCCCGGCUGCGAUGCUCUUUAACGUGACUGUGAGAAAGCUCAGAUUCCUUAGCUUGGCUUUAACGUCUGUCCUCAUCACCCUUUCCUACCCUGAUGACCUUUGCCCCAGUAGGCACGCCGAAUGUGACAUGGUACAAUGGCCGUUCCCACACUUGUGCCUUUCUCAGGCCCCCUUUCUGCAUCGCUUCCUGCCCUGGAAUACCUCUUGCUUUCCAGAUGCACCCAGAGUUCACACUCCUUCUCCACUCGCAUAUCACUCAUCCAUCUGUUGGAAAAAUAUGUAUUGGUCAGACAUGAUGAAACAAGCCUGUCAUCUUAGUACUGAGGAGGUGGAGGCAGGAAGAUCUUAAAUUUGAGGCCUUAUUUCCAGGGAGGGGAGAUGCCAUUGAGCUUGUGUGCCAGUCCUACACCUUGCCCUGAAGGUCCUACUUAGACACACUCAGGGCUGUCAGGCCCAAGGAGCAGAUAUUCCACACACUUGCAAGGUGCUGCUAUGGUGGGAGAAUACCUUCCCCAGUGUAGAGAGAUCAGAAAAGAUGAGAGGAGGAAGGAAUAGCUUUUUUUGUGUGUGUGUGUGUGGCAUGAGUAGAAGUUGGGUAGGCAAGGGAACUAGGGUGGCAGCAUGGGUGUUGACAGGAGGAAACAGAAAGUAGGAAGACAAUGCAUUCUAGGAACAGAGAGACUGUCACAGCCUGGAGUAGAGGGUGUAAACUGGGUGGAGAGAGACUGGGUUAUCCAGGGGCCCUCUGUAGCUUGUAAGCUAACGGAAGAGUCACAGGAAGCCAAAGAAGAAUUGGUAGCUGUGACUUGAAGCGAGUAGGUUUACUCCUUGGAGAUUCUAGAGCAACCCGAGUGUAGAGCACAGGCUGGAAGAGGCCUGGAAGGUGCCUCAGAAGGCAAAUGACAUGAUGUAUGUGGAGGCAAUGGCGCCUUAGUCCAAGUGAAGUCAGGAAGCAGAGUCAACGAGGAGAGAUCUGGGCACACUCUAGUAAAGAGGACUGGUGGUUGCCGGGGUGUGGGGUGGCGAGGAGGGACAAGCGUGGCUUCCUGGUUUGUGAUCAAGCAAGUCCUGGAACAGGAGGAUGGUGAGCUCAAGCAUGAAUGUAUUCAUUUGAGCUGCCUGAGGGCCAGUCCAGGACAACUAUCUGUGUCUCUGAGGAGAGAAUAUCCCCAGCUCACUGUGCCUGGCUCUUCCCAGCCAACUGCAUUCUGCCCUUUGUUACUCAGCUUUCUCUGUGAAUGACCAUAUUUGCAACAGGGCAGCUAUCAGAGGUUCAUCAGUGAAGAGACCCUGUCCAUUUAUGGUCGUCAUGAUAGGGAUAAGGGCUUGCCCAGAAAGAGUGGAGAUUUAAAAACACUUUAAGGGGGUGUUGAUGAGUGAAACCGACUCCCUGAUUUACCCGGCCGAGUGAGACUACCAGGAAUAACUGGUAAAGUAAGAACAGCCAGGUCCACAUAUCGCUUAUCACUGUGGGUGAUAGUGUUGACUGGGAGGGAUUAGUCAGAGGAGCAGGUUCAGGGAUUAAGAGAUUGGUCAAUGAGGUGACAAUACAGCUUAGCAGUGCAGCCCUUAUCCUAGAUAAGGUCCUAUGUUGAUUCUCUAGGCCUGCCUCCACUUCCCAACCCCCAAAGCAGUGCGAGAAAAGAGAAAGAAGAGAGAGUAAGAAGAGUUAAGUUGCAGACUCACUAAGUUCCUAGUGACAGCUGAGAGUUUGGUAGCUGGAGGAGUGCUGGUCACUGGACAUUGGGGUCUGAGUCUGGAGUUACAUAACUCAGGGUCCUGCCUAGAAUUGGCUAUUUUUUUCCCUUACUCCGUAUUCAUUUAUAACUCUUAAAAACCGGAUCAUAAAGUUUUCUGCCGUGUUUUUUUGCCAUGUUUUUGGGCCUGGCUUUGACAUGAACUCAGUGCCUGGCUGAUAACCUCUCCCUCACAGGUGCAACCUUGCCAGGUCACAGAUGAAGAUUAUGUAGCCAGUAUUGAUGAGACCUUAUAGGCUAAGAUCAGAUAGAAGGGGAGGAAGUCCUCCCCUAUCAGUGGAUCAGAGCAAAGGCACUGAGGGUGAAUAGUGAGGGUGAUGGGAUGGGAGGAGAUGAUAGGAGGAUGCUACAGCUUGGAUAUACUGUGAAUAAAUUGCAAAAAUAAAAAAGUUUCCACAGUAGAAUUCAAUUUCCCUCAGCAAGUUUUUGGUCUGUUCACCUUCGCUGAGGAGGUAUCUGAGAAGUGCAGGGAAUGGAUCCCCUGUUAACUGCUGGCCUAAAGCAACUUGACUGAUAGGGGGGUGUGCCUGUGUCGGGGCUGGGGGAGGGGAAAGCUUGACAGCAAAUGUCUGGACAGAGGGAGGAGAGGGCUCCUGGGGCACAGCUUGGGAGUUAUAACGCCAAUACCUCAGAAAGGGGGAGGAAGAGGACAGUUCAGAGGGUGGUCCCUGGGCCCCUAC